AGGCUCCCGGUCUGAACCGUUACCCAGGCCACCGGUCCGUACCA
rnacentral:misc_RNA from 1 species